CGGCGCACAUAAGACAUGCAAGUCGAACGGGAAGUCGUUACAAAACGGAUUGAAGAUUUAUCAGAUUGAAGUUUUGUAACAAUGGCUUUAGUGGCGGACUGGUGAGUAACACGUAAGCAAUCUACCUAUUAGAGGGGAAUAACAAUGAGAAAUCAUUGCUAAUACCGCAUAAGCUUGUAGCAUCGCAUGAUGCAGCAGAAAAGGAGCAAUCCGCUAAUAGAUGAGCUUGCGGCUGAUUAGCUAGUUGGUGUGGUAACGGCAUACCAAGGCAACGAUCAGUAGCCGAGCUGAGAGGCUCUUCGGCCACAUUGGGACUGAGAUACGGCCCAGACUCCUACGGGAGGCAGCAGUCGGGAAUAUUGCGCAAUGGAGGAAACUCUGACGCAGUGACGCCGCGUAUAGGAAGAAGGUUUUAGGAUUGUAAACUAUUUUAGUCAGGGAAGAAAAAGACGGUACCUGAAGAAUAAGCUCCGGCUAACUACGUG
rnacentral:rRNA from 1 species